GCUGAUAUGGCUCAGUUGGUAGAGCGCACCCUUGGUAAGGGUGAGGUCAAGAUUUUCAGCCUGGAUAUCAGAU
rnacentral:tRNA from 1 species